ensembl:lncRNA
AGAAUCUUGGGUGUCAUUCCCAGAACCUCUGCCUACCACAGGGGAAAAUAAAGAGGCAUGCCUGAAGCUCCAGAGAGGCAUCGAGGAGGCUGAUAAAGCAAAGUCAAUGAGAAAAUUGGCUCAUAAACAAACUUCAAGAAGUAAAUUUGACAAAAUCUUCUUGGCUGAUUGAGAUUUGCAGAUGCCAAGUGAAAGAUGGGGCAACAGUGGUGAAAUACUCUCUUGAAUCCAGCACAGGAGGGAGAAGAGUAAAGAAAGCUCCUCACACCUGUGAAGGGAGCACAACCACCCUCCUGAGAUGGAAGUAUGACCCCACGAGGGAGGCGAGAAUACUCUGAUGGAGCUCCAUGCCCCGGUGAGGACGAGAGACGAGGGACAAGUCUGCAGGGCAGGACCACCUCAGGCAGCUCUCCUCCUCUGUUCCUUUUUGACCUGAACAGGCAGUAUUUGAAAGCAACUACACGGAGUGCCCCCAGGCUUGUGAGCUUGAAGAAAGUGACCCUGCAGCCAACCAGGGCUCUUCCCUGAUACAGUGAACAGCAACACAGCAAAAGGAGCUCUCAUUACAGUGCACAUUACAUACCACAGAUGAGAAAACUGAGACACACACCAAAAACCCUCCCAGUAGGAUAGAGUUAGUGAGUUAUAGAGCCAGGAUUCUCAAGGAGACAGCCAGAUUCCAGAGGCCAAACUCUUUCUGACGAAGCCGUAUUGUUGCAUUCAGGAGGACCCCCGGGUGUUGCUACAAAGGGCAGCCAGGUUCAAGUGGAAGCCAUGGCAGAAAGUUGGCCCUGGUGCUUCCUCACCAAAGAAAGAGAACAAGAAUGGCAGAGAUGAUACAGAUCCAACGGAAAUGUGCAAGGCCAUGGCUCCCUCCACACUCUGCUCGGGCUGCAACAUGGCCAAUUGGUUUCAUCAAUUACCAGAAAGGGCCCUUCUUUCCCAUUUUGUGUGGACUGGGAUGAUUUCAUCAGAGAUUAUCAUAAUUCUGAAACAGAACCCGUAACAAUUACUAUUUCACCAGAAGACAAUACUAGCUAAUUGCAGGAUUUGGGCUCCAGGGGCGAGCAAACCUAAAGAAACCACACUUCCCUGGGUAGACAGGACUGGAGAGUCAGGAAUGUGGAAGGAGCUCUGCCUUGUGGUGUCUUAGGAGAAGCAGCAGUCCCAGGAUGGGCGAGGAGUGUGCUCAGAGAGCCAGCCUCCCCUUAUUGGUGCACCUGUUCUCUGAUGACCACUGUGGGCACCUGGGAGGGAGAUAGCAAAUGUAGGUGAGAAGGCACAAAGUAGCUGGGACAUACAAUCAUGAGAGGAGGCAAACUCAUCUUGUCUCCAUUGCCCCAGGAAGGAAAGAGCGCAAGCAGAGAGGAGAACACAGAGGCAACACAGAGGCUCUCAAAAGCAAGGCAUCCACAGUCAGGCUGUUCAGGGGAUUAAAGGAGAGAGCUGGAGGGAAGCAGCCCUGGGUUCAAAUGCCAGCACUCCUGUCAGUUUCCUGAGUCACCUGGGCCAGGUUGCUCAACUGAUUUGAGUUGCAGACUCUUCUGUCCCAUGGAGAUGAUUACCUAUCUCCUGUGUUGGCAUAGGAAUCGAGUGUUACAGGUAUGUUAGCCUGGAAAGUGACUGUCACUCA